rnacentral:rRNA from 1 species
CCGAUGAUCAAUCUUUCGAGAGAGUGAUUCGGUGGAAAGUGGCGGAAGGGUGAGUAACGCGUGGGUAAGCUGCCUCGAAGUUGGGGACAACCCCGCGAAAGCGGGGCUAAUACCGAAUGUGGUCCUGCAGCACAUGUUGCGGUGACUAAAGGCGGGGAUCCUUCGGGACCUGCCGCUUUGAGAGGUGCCCGCGUGCCAUCAGCUUGUUGGUAGGGUAACGGCCUACCAAGGCUUACGGCUAGCCGGCCUGAGAGGGUGAUCGGCCACACUGGGACUGAGACACUGCCCAGACUCCUACGGGAGGCUGCAGUCGAGGAUCAUUCGCAAUGCGCGAAAGCGUGACGAUGCGACGCUGCGUGGAGGAUGAAGGCCUUCGGGUUGUAAACUCCUGUCAUGAGGGAAAAGCUGCCUUACUCCGAAUAAGGGUAAGGCUCGAUGGUACCUCAAGAGGAAGCCACGGCUAACUCUGUGCCAGCAGCCGCGGUAAUACAGAGGUGGCGAGCGUUGUUCGGAUUUA